GGAGCCACAGUGGGUGCGGAGAGAGCAGCGGCGGCCCCAGCCCAGCGCAGUCCAGCCCGGCCCGGCCCGCCCCGCCCAGGGAGCGCAGCGCCGGAGCAGGGUCAGUACAGAUAUGCCUGCCUGGCUGCUCCGCUGCUCCUGCGCCCCAGCACUUGCUGCCCUGUGAUUUUGGGUAACAAGGCUAAGAAGUUACAAAUCGUGCGGUAAGAACCCAAAAGUAACCUGCCUUUAUUGAAUUCUCAAGAACAUAAUCGACCCCUUGGUACAUUAUCAAGAUGCAUUAGGAAACUGGAUCCGGUGCCAAAAGAACUCCAUGAGUUUCCAUGACUCUCCUGAACCCUGACUCCAAUACUUUUGGAUAUAAAUUUCUCUUCUAAGGAGAAGGGUGUGUACUCCAAAUCCUUUCUGCCAGCUUGCUGGCAGAGAUAUUUCACUAAGAUCAUGGACCAUCCUAAUAGGGAUAAGGAUGAAAGGCAGCGGACGACGAAGGGAAUGCCGGGAAGGAGCGGGCAUGGUUCUCGACCAAGCUCAUCGGCAUCUUCUGGCGUUCUUAUGGUGGGACCCAACUUCAGAGUGGGCAAGAAGAUUGGGUGUGGGAACUUUGGAGAACUCAGACUAGGUAAAAAUCUCUAUACCAAUGAAUAUGUAGCGAUCAAACUGGAACCAAUCAAAUCCUGGGCACCACAACUUCAUUUAGAAUACAGAUUUUAUAAACAACUUGGAAGUGCAGCUGAAGGGUUUCCCCAGGUGUAUUACCUCAGGCCAUGUGGGAAGUACAACACCAUGGUACUGGAGCUGCUUGGUCCCAGCUUGGAAGAUUUGUUUGACCUCUGUGUUAGGACAUUCACCCUGAAGACGGUGUUGAUGAUCGCCAUCCAGCUGACCUCUCGGAUGGAAUACGUGCAUUCCAAGAACCUCAUCUACCGAGAUGUGAAGCCAGAAAACUUCCUCAUUGGCCGGCAAGGCAAUAAGAAGGAGCACGUCGUCCACAUCAUAGACUUUGGAUUGGCAAAGGAGUACAUUGACCCGGAAACCAAAAAACACAUACCUUACAGGGAGCACAAGAGCUUAACUGGAACGGCGAGAUACAUGUCCAUCAACACCCACCUUGGCAAAGAGCCAAGUCGUCGAGACAACUUGGAAACCCUGGGCCAUAUGUUCAUGUAUUUCCUCCGAGGCAGCCUGCCCUGGCAGGGACUGAAGGCUGACACCUUAAAAGAGAGGUAUCAGAAGAUCGGCGACACAAAGAGAAACACUCUGGUCGAAGUUCUCUGUGAGAACUUUCCAGAGGAGAUGGCCACGUACCUCUGCUACGUUCGGCGAUUAGACUUCUUUGAGAGGCCAGACUAGGAUUACCUGCGAACCAUCUUCACGGGGCUGUUUGAGAAGAGAGGCUACACCUUUGACUAUGCCUAUGACUGGGUCGGCAGGCCAAUUCCUACUCCUGUGGGAUCUGUUCAUGCAGAUUCUGGGACAUCUGCAGUAACAAGAGACAGCCACAUCCACCGGGAUCGACCAUCCCAGCAAGCCCUUCGCAAUCAGGCGUCGUCAGAUCGCCGAGGGGAGUGGGAGAUCCAGCCAAGCCGACAGACAAAUACCUCGUACCUGACAUCUCAUUUGGCUGCGGAUCGACACGGAAGAUCAGUGCAGAUGGUGAGCUCAACCAACGGGGAGCUGAAUGUGGACGACCCGACGGGAGCACACUCCAACGCGCCCAUCACAGCGCAGGCAGAGGUGGAGGUGGUGGAGGAAGCUAAGUGCUGCUGCUUCUUUAAAAGGAAACGGAAGAAGACGGCUCAGCAUCACAAGUGACCAGUGCCUCCUGGGCCUUGCAGGAACCACCGUUCCUGCAGCUCCUGCCCUGAAUCACUGGAAGGGGCUUCUCUUUAGGGGGGAGGAGGAGGAGGCAGAGGAGGAAGAGAGAAAAACAAACAAAAAAACAAAACCAAAAAAUCAAAACCAAGUGACAUUUUAAACCAAAAAGAGAAGAAAAAGUUCCAAAACAAACCACUCUGGGGUGGAUCUGCUGAAUGGUCUCCCUCGUUCACUCCAAGCCUGAAGCUCCUUUUGGGACCAGGACUGUGGCUGGCUCAGGUCUUGGUCGCCCUGGGAGGGGGGCUGGCUGGCUGACCCUCCUUCCCGUUGUUUACGGCAAAGGCAUCGUUCAUGCAAACCUGAGGACUGUGCUUAGUUCCUGCUCAUUUUCCUCCCCUCCCUCUCCUGUGCUCUAUGCUCCUCCAUCCUCCUCCCUCCUUAAUUAAUUGGAAGAAAUCCAAUAGGUUUGAUUGGCUGUCGAGAGGGCAGGAGGAUGCGAGGCAGGCAGGAGAGUUGCUGGGAGAAGGGCCUGAUCGCUGCAGCAGGAAGAGACAGGUUCCCUCUGCGACUCCUUGGGAACAGUUACACUGUAAUGUGCAAGCUGUGAGAAAUUUACAAUCUACUGUUCCAGUUAGGGGUUUUUUUUCCGGCUGCCUUGACACCUCCCUCCUCUGACGGUAACAGAGCAAUGUGGAUUGUUU